UGUCUGAAGAAUCACUGCUUCGGGGGCUGAAACAUAGCCAGCUUUCUGGUUAUCAGAGGAUGCUUCGUACUGGGAUAUCAAACAGGGGAAAGACUGAAUGAAACAUAUAAUUUCCAUUUUUAAGAGGGCAAUAAGGAUAUUGCUGUCAGUUGCUUACAAACAGCCCUCCCGAGCUUAGUCCUCAUUGAAGAGAAGAUUGGUGACGUGUCCAGGACGUGCUCUGCUUGGCCCCAAUAUGCUGCAACACGUCGCCACGGAGCAAAAGAAAAAAAGACCCUGUUUACACAUGCCUGAUCACAUACAGCGGUUUCAACGGGCCAAAAUGAUGAAUAUUACAUUGAGGGGAGACUUUCCACGUGAUGUUGGAAGCUGGUUGUCGUAUGUUGGGUGAUGUGACCCGGCUCACAGUCCGUGUUCCAGUUCAACUCAAAGUGGGCAGGAAGCAGGCGAGGGGGAAAGAUGGAGUGACAGGAAAACAAAGGCAAAGGGAGGCGGCUGAAGAGCAAGGAAGAAAAUCAAGACCGACUAAAAAAAAAAAAAAAAACUUGUGCAGCAAAUAAAGCAGGAGGAUCACUCACUCAGUCAAACAAAUAAACAUCAUCUAGAGUCUGACCUUUGC
ensembl:lncRNA